rnacentral:lncRNA from 1 species
GGUUAUCGAUGGGCCAUGUCGUUUGUCGUGGAAGGCUGCUCGUGAAGGGUGGUGGAGGUUCUAUUAAGGACGUGAGGCAACGAAUGCAGAUGGCUGAAGGUUUUUCCGGCAGGUCUUGGAGGUGGUUCGCUGAUGGCUAUGGGGACGGGCUGCUAGGGUUUUUGGUUAGGGAGAUGGAGGAAGAAGAUAAUGAAUAGUGGGGAGUGGCGGCUAGGUCUAGGCUAGAGAGAGUUAGAGUGUCUUUAGGGUUUUU